rnacentral:tRNA from 1 species
GAGGGUGUAGCUCAGUGACAGAGCACAUGCUUAGCAUGCACGAGGUCCCGGGUUUGAUCCCCAGUACUGCCA